GAUGCGCCUGGCGCAUCCAUCAGUCGGAAUAAGAUGUGAUAGUCCACUGGGAGACGGUGGGCCCGGCCGCAAGGUUGGGAUAUGUGUACCGGGUGUUAGCCGGAGCAUGCUAUUCGUCUGUUGGGCUGUCUAGCCAGUGCACUUUCUCUGUGGGGAACACCACGACCGGUGGAAUUGCCAGUCUGCUGUAGCUAAGUCUUGCUGAGAGGGUCCUUGUGGCCAACUUGGUGAGAUCACAGGCAAUGUCAGUGUACGGCGUGGGAGUGCCUUUGGUGUUCCUACGUGUUAUCGGGUGCUGCUUGUCAACGGGCCUGCUCGGUGGUUGUUGUAACUGCCAUUGGGUGGUCCGGUGGGCUAUGGUGGUAAGAAUAACUGUGCAAGGCACUGGAGUUGUCGGCCUCAAAUGCGCUCUGCACUGGCAUGUUACAAGUGCGUGGGGGUGCCAUUGCGGUCUGCCUGUUGUUGAGUCUGAUUGUCGUGUCGCCUGCGCAAAGUAGGCCCGGCAGUGGCUUGAUGCAGGAUGGGCUGUGGAUGGUGUCUCUCAGGUGUGGAGUGCGGUGGGCCUAAAAGUCAGUGGUGCAGUGGUAGACGAGCUACCCGACCCGUCUUGAAACACGGACCAAGGAGUUUAACAUGUAUGCGAGUCAAGGGGUCCUACGAAACCCAAAGGCGCAGUGAAAGUAAAGCUUCGACUUGUUCUCGGAGUGAGGUGAGAUCCUGCCGUGACUCGCAUCGCUUGGUGUCAGCAUCAGGCAAAGAGCGGUAGGCGCAUCACCGGCCCGUCCCAUGAUGUGGUCAUUGGAUGUCUGCGGU
rnacentral:rRNA from 1 species